UUAAGCGACUAAGCGUACACGGUGGAUGCCCUGGCAGUCAGAGGCGAUGAAGGACGUGCUAAUCUGCGAAAAGCGUCGGUAAGGUGAUAUGAACCGUUAUAACCGGCGAUGUCCGAAUGGGGAAACCCAGUGUGAUUCGUCACACUAUCGUUAACUGAAUACAUAGGUUAACGAGGCGAACCGGGGGAACUGAAACAUCUAAGUACCCCGAGGAAAAGAAAUCAACCGAGAUUCCCCCAGUAGCGGCGAGCGAACGGGGAGCAGCCCAGAGUCUGAAUCAGCUUGUGUGUUAGUGGAACGGUCUGGAAAGUCCGACGGUACAGGGUGAUAGUCCCGUACACCAAAAUGCACAGGCUGUGAACUCGAAGAGUAGGGCGGGACACGUGGUAUCCUGUCUGAAUAUGGGGGGACCAUCCUCCAAGGCUAAAUACUCCUGACUGACCGAUAGUGAACCAGUACCGUGAGGGAAAGGCGAAAAGAACCCCGGCGAGGGGAGUGAAAAAGAACCUGAAACCGUGUACGUACAAGCAGUGGGAGCACCUUCGGGUGUGACUGCGUACCUUUUGUAUAAUGGGUCAGCGACUUAUAUUCUGUAGCAAGGUUAACCGUAUAGGGGAGCCGCAGGGAAACCGAGUCUUAACUGGGCGUUAAGUUGCAGGGUAUAGACCCGAAACCCGGUGAUCUAGCCAUGGGCAGGUUGAAGGUUGGGUAACACUAACUGGAGGACCGAACCGACUAAUGUUGAAAAAUUAGCGGAUGACUUGUGGCUGGGGGUGAAAGGCCAAUCAAACCGGGAGAUAGCUGGUUCUCCCCGAAAGCUAUUUAGGUAGCGCCUCGUGAACUCAUCUUCGGGGGUAGAGCACUGUUUCGGCUAGGGGGUCAUCCCGACUUACCAACCCGAUGCAAACUACGAAUACCGAAGAAUGUUAUCACGGGAGACACACGGCGGGUGCUAACGUCCGUCGUGAAGAGGGAAACAACCCAGACCGCCAGCUAAGGUCCCAAAGUCAUGGUUAAGUGGGAAACGAUGUGGGAAGGCACAGACAGCCAGGAUGUUGGCUUAGAAGCAGCCAUCAUUUAAAGAAAGCGUAAUAGCUCACUGGUCGAGUCGGCCUGCGCGGAAGAUGUAACGGGGCUAAACCAUGCACCGAAGCUGCGGCAGCGACACUAUGUGUUGUUGGGUAGGGGAGCGUUCUGUAAGCCUGCGAAGGUGUGCUGUGAGGCAUGCUGGAGGUAUCAGAAGUGCGAAUGCUGACAUAAGUAACGAUAAAGCGGGUGAAAAGCCCGCUCGCCGGAAGACCAAGGGUUCCUGUCCAACGUUAAUCGGGGCAGGGUGAGUCGACCCCUAAGGCGAGGCCGAAAGGCGUAGUCGAUGGGAAACAGGUUAAUAUUCCUGUACUUGGUGUUACUGCGAAGGGGGGACGGAGAAGGCUAUGUUAGCCGGGCGACGGUUGUCCCGGUUUAAGCAUGUAGGCUGGUUGUCCAGGCAAAUCCGGAUAAUCAAGGCUGAGGUGUGAUGACGAGGCACUACGGUGCUGAAGUAACAAAUGCCCUGCUUCCAGGAAAAGCCUCUAAGCAUCAGGUAACAUUAAAUCGUACCCCAAACCGACACAGGUGGUCAGGUAGAGAAUACCAAGGCGCUUGAGAGAACUCGGGUGAAGGAACUAGGCAAAAUGGUGCCGUAACUUCGGGAGAAGGCACGCUGGUGUGUAGGUGAAGUCCCUGCGGAUGGAGCUGAGACCAGUCGAAGAUACCAGCUGGCUGCAACUGUUUAUUAAAAACACAGCACUGUGCAAACACGAAAGUGGACGUAUACGGUGUGACGCCUGCCCGGUGCCGGAAGGUUAAUUGAUGGGGUUAUCCGUAAGGAGAAGCUCUUGAUCGAAGCCCCGGUAAACGGCGGCCGUAACUAUAACGGUCCUAAGGUAGCGAAAUUCCUUGUCGGGUAAGUUCCGACCUGCACGAAUGGCGUAAUGAUGGCCAGGCUGUCUCCACCCGAGACUCAGUGAAAUUGAACUCGCUGUGAAGAUGCAGUGUACCCGCGGCAAGACGGAAAGACCCCGUGAACCUUUACUAUAGCUUGACACUGAACAUUGAGCCUUGAUGUGUAGGAUAGGUGGGAGGCUUUGAAGCGUGGACGCCAGUCUGCGUGGAGCCAACCUUGAAAUACCACCCUUUAAUGUUUGAUGUUCUAACGUUGGCCCCUGACCGGGGUUGCGGACAGUGUCUGGUGGGUAGUUUGACUGGGGCGGUCUCCUCCCAAAGCGUAACGGAGGAGCACGAAGGUUAGCUAAUCCUGGUCGGACAUCAGGAGGUUAGUGCAAUGGCAUAAGCUAGCUUGACUGCGAGCGUGACGGCGCGAGCAGGUGCGAAAGCAGGUCAUAGUGAUCCGGUGGUUCUGAAUGGAAGGGCCAUCGCUCAACGGAUAAAAGGUACUCCGGGGAUAACAGGCUGAUACCGCCCAAGAGUUCAUAUCGACGGCGGUGUUUGGCACCUCGAUGUCGGCUCAUCACAUCCUGGGGCUGAAGUAGGUCCCAAGGGUAUGGCUGUUCGCCAUUUAAAGUGGUACGCGAGCUGGGUUUAGAACGUCGUGAGACAGUUCGGUCCCUAUCUGCCGUGGGCGCUGGAGAAUUGAGGGGGGCUGCUCCUAGUACGAGAGGACCGGAGUGGACGCAUCACUGGUGUUCGGGUUGUCAUGCCAAUGGCACUGCCCGGUAGCUAAAUGCGGAAGAGAUAAGUGCUGAAAGCAUCUAAGCACGAAACUUGCCCCGAGAUGAGUUCUCCCUGACUCCUUGAGAGUCCUGAAGGAACGUUGAAGACGACGACGUUGAUAGGCCGGGUGUGUAAGCGCAGCGAUGCGUUGAGCUAACCGGUACUAAUGAACCGUGAGGCUUAACCUU
rnacentral:rRNA from 1 species